UACGUAGGCAGCGAGCGUUGUUCGGAGUUACUGGGCGUAAAGGGUGUGUAGGCGGUUAUUUAAGUUGGUGUGAAAUCUCCCGGCUCAACCGGGAGGGUGCGCCGAAUACUGAAUGACUUGGAGUGCGGGAGAGGUGAGUGGAAUUCCUGGUGUAGCGGUGAAAUGCGUAGAUAUCAGGAGGAACACCGGUGGUGUAGACGGCUCACUGGACCGUAACUGACGCUGAGACACGAAAGCGUGGGUAGCAAACAGG
rnacentral:rRNA from 1 species